rnacentral:rRNA from 1 species
UCCUACGGGAGGCAGCAGUGGGGAAUCUUAGACAAUGGGGGCAACCCUGAUCUAGCCAUGCCGCGUGAGUGAUGAAGGCCUUAGGGUCGUAAAGCUCUUUCGCCUGUGAUGAUAAUGACAGUAGCAGGUAAAGAAACCCCGGCUAACUCCGUGCCAGCAGCCGCGGUAAUACGGAGGGGGUUAGCGUUGUUCGGAAUUACUGGGCGUAAAGCGCGCGUAGGCGGAUUAGAAAGUUGGGGGUGAAAUCCCGGGGCUCAACCCCGGAACUGCCUCCAAAACUGCUAGUCUAGAGUUCGAGAGAGGUGAGUGGAAUUCCGAGUGUAGAGGUGAAAUUCGUAGAUAUUCGGAGGAACACCAGUGGCGAAGGCGGCUCACUGGCUCGAUACUGACGCUGAGGUGCGAAAGUGUGGGGAGCAAACAGGAUUAGAUACCCUGGUAGUCCACACCGUAAACGAUGAAUGCCAGUCGUCGGGUAGUAUACUAUUCGGUGACACACCUAACGGAUUAAGCAUUCCGCCUGGGGAGUACGGUCGCAAGAUUAAAACUCAAAUGAAUUGACGGA